GGUAUGCCAGGAGCUUUAUUUAGUUGCGCUGAAACCCCAGGGCCUGGAUCAGGACUCCUAAGCCUGUGUCCUUACCGUCAGAGAGGACAAAAUCUUGUGAGCAGGCUCUGUCCCUCCGGGCAAAGAGCCA
ensembl:misc_RNA